rnacentral:tRNA from 1 species
AUUUAUAUAGCUUAUAUUUUAAGAGUAUAUCAGUGAAGUUGAUAGGGAAAUUUUAUGUUUAUAAAU